rfam:Phanerochaete carnosa HHB-10118-sp unplaced genomic scaffold PHACAscaffold_2, whole genome shotgun sequence.
UCCGAUAUGGUGUAGUGGCUAACAUUAUUGCCUCUCACGCGAUAGCCCGGAGUUCGAUUCCCCGUGUCGGAA